GACGAACGCUGGCGGCGUGCUUAACACAUGCAAGUCGAGCGGUAAGGCCUCUUCGGGGGUACACGAGCGGCGAACGGGUGAGUAACACUUGGGUGACCUGCCCUCAGCUCUGGGAUAAGCCUGGGAAACUGGGUCUAAUACCGGAAAUGACUUUUCCUCGCAUGGGGUUUGGUGGAAAGUUUUUUCGGCUGUGGAUGGGCCGGCGGCCUAUCAGCUUGUUGGUGAGGUGAUGGCCUACCAAGGCGACGACGGGUAGCCGGGGUGCGGGGGCGACCGGCCAAACUGGGAGAGAGGCACGAGUCAGGCACCUUCGGGAGGGGGCGGUAGGGAAUCGUGCGCAAGGGGCGGAAGCCUGAAGCAGCGACGCAGCGUGAGGGACGACGGCCUGCGGGUUAUAAAUCUCUUUCGACCCAGACGAAUUUGGACGGUAGCGGUAGAAGAAGCACCGGCCAACUACGUG
rnacentral:rRNA from 1 species